CACCUGUCAGAGUUGGCAUGCAAGAAGAUCCUUCAGUGAUUCAUUGAUCUGGAAAAGAACAAUCUUUACAACUCUAAAAGAAAUGAUAGCCAUGGAGUAGUUUACUUGAGGAAUCUGAUCAACAUUUCUGGCAUUCAGUCAGGAAGAGUAACAUUUUCCUUUCUUAUGCAUGGUAUGUUUUUUCCUUCAGGGAAAGUCUAGGGAUUUUUCCUAGAAAUCUAGAGGUUAAGAACUUUUUCAGUGAUCCCUCUGGUUCCUGAGAGGGCAGAGAAAAUAAAUAACCAGAAAUAAAAUUUUAAUGUCAUGAUGGUUUGAGUAUGAA